UCGCGUCUUACGACGGCAGUCUCCUAUGAGUUCCCACCAUUACGUGCUGGCAACAUAGAACGAGGGUUGCGCUCGUUGCGGGACUUAACCCAACAUCUCACGACACGAGCUGACGACAACCAUGCACCACCUGUAUACCGACCUUGCGGGGCGACUGUUUCCAGCCGUUUCCGGUAUAUGUCAAGCCUUGGUAAGGUUCUUCGCGUUGCAUCGAAUUAAUCCGCAUGCUCCGCCGCUUGUGCGGGCCCCCGUCAAUUCCUUUGAGUUUCAGUCUUGCGACCGUACUCCCCAGGCGGCGAACUUAACGCGUUAGCUUCGAUACUGCGUGCCAAAUUGCACCCAACAUCCAGUUCGCAUCGUUUAGGGCGUGGACUAC
rnacentral:misc_RNA from 1 species